GGAAAGUUUUACCGCGUGGUUAACCAAAGAGGAAGAAGCUGAAUUGCAGCUUGUGGAGCAGAUGCAUCAGCAACAGCAUGCCCCCAGCUACAGCCUCAAAAGCCUUUGCCUUUUUUCAAUUAAUUUGCUAAUGUGGGGAUGAGGGUACGCUUGUGUUUUUGCAGGAGAUGAACAAACUCUAUGGGUGCCCUUAAGGUGUGUACGACCAUGGAAUAGGAGACUGGAGGGACCCAUGCAACCCAACUGUGGGCCUGGUUCCCCCAGUACGAGCUGAAUGCAAAGACAGAACGAACCAGCAAUUGAAGCCUGCACAUUUUGCAAUUACCUUUCUCAAUUAAUUUAAAAACACAAAGGGAGAGAUGUUGGAGACCGCAAGAAUGAGCGUUGUGACCAACUCAGUAUACCACUGGAGGCUAUAGUGGCAGAGACAUCCUACUGGCUCUGGAGUCUGCAAAUGAGAUCCUGGGAAAACUGACAAAGUGCUGGCAGAAGGAGACAGGGUCUCUGUUUUCCAGGAUGGUCUUGAAUGUGUGGCUUCACACAAUCCUCCCAUCUCAGCCACCUGAAGUGCUGGGAUUACAGGCAUAAGCCACUGUGCCCAGCCUACAGCCACUCUAAAUUCUACAUUGACUACUGUUGUUCAUUGUCGGCACAAUGGAAAGCAAGGUUGUUUUGUACUGUUAUUGGUGUAAGGUAUCUGAGUUACCAGCAGCAAAUCUAUACAUGUCUGCAGCAACCUCAAUUCUUGACUCCUCAGAAGAAAGAAUUUCACGCGGGGCAUAAAGGCAGAAAAAGAGACCGAGGCAAGUUUCAGAGCAUGAGUGGAAGUUUACUUUAAAAGGCUGUAAAACAAGAAAGGAAAGGAAAGUACACUUGGAAGACACCCAAGCUGGCGACUUGAAGGACAAGCGCAAUGUUUUUUUUGAGACGGAGUCUCGCUCUGUCGCCCAGGCUGGAGUACAGUGGCGCGAUCUCGGCUCACUGCAAGCUCCGCCUCCCGGGUUCACGCCAUUCUCCUGCCUCAGCCUCCCGACUAGCUGGGACUACAGGCGCUCACCACCACGUCCAGCUAAUUUUUUUGUAUUUUUAAUAGAGACGGGGUUUCACUGUGUUAGCCAGGAUGGUCUCGAUCUCCUGACUUCGUGAUCCACCCACCUCGGCCUCCCAAAGUGUUGGGAUUACAGGCGUGAGCCACCGCGCCUGGCUUUGACAAGUGCAAUGUUUAACCUUGAUCCUCGGACUUUCUAGAUUGUCCCACUUCCGGCAUCUUGCAUCCCUUUCCCAUGAUUCUUCCCUUAGGGUGGGCUGCCCACAUGCUGGGUGCCCUCCUUACCCUUGGAAAGUGAGCAUGUACAGUGUGUUUGGGAAGUUGUAUGCAUGUGCAUCUGAGACUUUCUUCCCUUUUAAGGUAGAGUGCCCCCAGAAGGUUAUAUUCCGCCAUUUUGACUCUUAAUGUAUAUGCCUGGGAAGUUGCUUCUCCCUGGUAUCUAUGUUCAAUUAACACUUUAGUGCCACAAGUGUGGACCAUCAGGAAAUGGCCUCUCCCUGGCACCGGCUACCAAUUUAUCACUUUUAGAAAGGCAACGUGACAAUUGCCAAACCAUCACCCAACAUUCUUGGUGGGUGGGGGAGAGCCCUCCCCUGCCCCACUUAUGCCUCUAAACUACCUGUAACAGUACCAGAAGUCUAGUUUUACAGUAGCAUAUUUCCGUGUUAGACAUCAAAAUAUGCCACACUAAAAUAAGACUCAAACUUUUCAUAAAACAAAUUUACAUCUACGAAGGGAAUCUUCAUUUGUAAGGUUGUCACUCUGUCCCCACACUGGGAAGAGGUUGACUAAAUCUCUAGAGACUCCAAAUCAACGGUGAAGGUACUGACUUAAAUCUGCCGUGCAAAUUUUUCUUUUGUUUAAGGUGAUUUACCUGCCCAUUCUGUUUUGACUAGGCGUUUUCCCACAGCCUUUUUGCUUUGUUUCACAGAACAGUACUUAAACUAUACCUUUGAAAUCAACUCUAAGGAUUUACUGAUUUCUCUGCGUUAUCUUUCAUGUAUAUUUUCCAGGGAGAUGUACAUAUUAUCAGAUAUUCAGGAAGUGUACAUGUUAUUAAACUUCUAUUUGCUUUUUUCAUGUUAACCUGUUUUUUGUUACAGAGAGUCCCACUUAAGAACUAUGAAAGGUAGACAAAAAAAUUAUUUGUAUUUUCAUACACCUGUAUCUGGAAACAGGAUGGGGCAAAAAAUAAGAUAGUUUACUCAUUGGGGAUGUUGGGGCUCAGAAAACAGUAUCCCACAAUAUGGCACUUCGUUAUACUGGGUACUUUGAAUUAAUGGCAAUUGAAAGGCCUUGGAACCAAGAUCUCCCUAACUUUUGCUUGCCCCCAUUUUCUUUCAAUUCCAAAGUUCAGAAAGGGACUUUCUCUGAAGUUUUCUUAUCUGACAGAAGGAAAUUCCUCUAAAAGGAAUGCAAUUGUUACAAACCCUGUUUCUGGAAUCUACAAUAACCAGAAAAAUUAACUUGUAUCGCAGGAGAGGAGACUAAAAGGACUCCGCACACAGUGACCUAAGAGACUUUAUCU
rnacentral:lncRNA from 1 species